rnacentral:rRNA from 1 species
UACGUAGGGGGCAAGCGUUAUCCGGAUUUACUGGGUGUAAAGGGAGCGCAGGCGGGAAGCCAAGUCAGCUGUGAAAACUACGGGCUUAACUUGUAGACUGCAGUUGAAACUGGUUUUCUUGAGUGAAGUAGAGGUUAGCGGAAUUCCGAGUGUAGCGGUGAAAUGCGUAGAUAUUCGGAGGAACACCGGUGGCGAAGGCGGCCAACUGGGCUUUAACUGACGCUGAGGCUCGAAAGCGUGGGGAGCAAACAGG